rnacentral:rRNA from 1 species
AGCCUCGGGGGGCAGCAGUAGGGAAUCUUCCACAAUGGACGAAAGUCUGAUGGAGCAACGCCGCGUGAGUGAAGAAGGGUUUCGGCUCGUAAAGCUCUGUUGGUAGUGAAGAAAGAUAGAGGUAGUAACUGGCCUUUAUUUGACGGUAAUUACUUAGAAAGUCACGGCUAACUACGUGCCAGCAGCCGCGGUAAUACGUAGGUGGCAAGCGUUGUCCGGAUUUAUUGGGCGUAAAGCGAGUGCAUGCGGGUCUAUAAGGCUGAUGUGUAAGCCUUUGGGCCCAAC